CAACCUCCAUGGGCGUUGGCUCAAGCAGUUUUAGCAGAAGUGCCAAACCAGGUCUCAGAAUAUUUCCAAAUGAAGAAACUAACGCCUGGCGCAAGACCACCACAAACGUAGAAAUGUUGAAGACUUGUAAGUAAAUAGAUAGUUGUAUAGACAAUUUAUGCAUAACUAUGGACGUAAAGGAAUCCGACGUUGUAUACGUUCAGCCAUUUGGGCAGCUCAAAGGGCACAGUUCAGCCUUUUGAAUGAUGG